AACGAACGCUGGCGGCACGCCUAACACAUGCAAGUCGAGCGCACCUUCGGGUGAGCGGCGGACGGGUUAGUAACGCGUGGGAACGUACCCAGAUCUACGGAAUAGCCAUUGGAAACGAUGAGUAAUACCGUAUACGCCCUUCGGGGGAAAGAUUUAUCGGAUUUGGAUCGGCCCGCGUUAGAUUAGAUAGUUGGUGGGGUAAUGGCCUACCAAGUCUACGAUCUAUAGCUGGUUUGAGAGGAUGAUCAGCAACACUGGGACUGAGACACGGCCCAGACUCCUACGGGAGGCAGCAGUGGGGAAUCUUAGACAAUGGGCGAAAGCCUGAUCUAGCGAUGCCGCGUGAGUGACGAAGGUCUUAGGAUCGUAAAGCUCUUUCGCCAGGGAUGAUAAUGACAGUACCUGGUAAAGAAACCCCGGCUAACUCCG
rnacentral:rRNA from 1 species